GGGGCUGUGGCGCAGCUGGUAGCGCAUUUGCAUGGCAUGCAAAGGGUCAGGGGUUCGAGUCCCCUCAGCUCCA
rfam:Kocuria flava strain HO-9041, complete genome.